rnacentral:rRNA from 1 species
GCUUACCAUGCAGUCGAGGGGUAUAGGUUUUCGGAUCUAGAGACCGGCGCACGGGUGCGUAACGCGUAUGCAAUCUACCUUUUACAGAGGGAUAGCCCAGAGAAAUUUGGAUUAAUACCUCAUAGCAUAGCAGCUUCGCAUGAAGCCACUAUUAAAGUCACAACGGUAAAAGAUGAGCAUGCGUCCCAUUAGCUAGUUGGUAAGGUAACGGCUUACCAAGGCUACGAUGGGUAGGGGUCCUGAGAGGGAGAUCCCCCACACUGGUACUGAGACACGGACCAGACUCCUACGGGAGGCAGCAGUGAGGAAUAUUGGACAAUGGGCGCAAGCCUGAUCCAGCCAUGCCGCGUGCAGGAUGACGGUCCUAUGGAUUGUAAACUGCUUUUGUACGAGAAGAAACACUCCGACGUGUCGGAGCUUGACGGUAUCGUAAGAAUAAGGAUCGGCUAACUCCGUGCCAGCAGCCGGCGGUAAUGA